GGUUCCAUAGUGUAGCGGUCAGCACGUCUGCUUUACACACAGAAGGUCCUGGGUUCGCACCCCAGGUGGGGCCA
rfam:Pteropus alecto contig55530, whole genome shotgun sequence.